GAAAAGCAAGAGCAGGUGCUGAAAACGAAAAGGAAACUAGCAGCAGUCCCAGCUACCACAAUGGAUCAGCCCCCAUUUGGCCAACAGGUGACUCUACCCCAGGUGGGCCUGAGAGGACCCAUCCCCCAUCUCACCAUUCUGCCCCAGCGCCCUGGAUCCUGCCUCUACCACUUCUUCCCUGCGCAGUCACUAGGGACGGACUCUGGCAGCAGAGCCGCGCUGUCGUGCCCCAGCCAGCCAGGCUCUCCUGGGAUCUGGGCUGGAAGGGGCUGCCGAGACCAUCAGUCCAAUCUUUGGUCUACAGGUGGGGAAACUGAGGCUCAAGGAAGGUCAGUGGGGGGCCAGAAGGGACCUCAUGUGUGAGAUCUGGAAGCGGGAAUUGGAGCAGCAGUUUCAUUCUGCUUCAGCUCAGGAAGCCCCUGCAGCAGCCCAGCCUGGAGAAACGAGGACCCAGCAUGGAAAGACCCCAGCCUCAAGGAGGCAGAGCACAGCCAGGAAGGGAAGCCCCAGCCCACCUGGGAAACCCACCUGGCCCAUUGCUGGGCACAGGAUCUCACUGGUGGUCUCACAUCCAUCCUUUUGGGAAUGAGAUCAGGACUAGGGAUUCGGCACUGGUGACCAGCACUCAGGUGGACCGCUCAGCUGACUGAGGUGGAGAAGGAAGGAGGAGCGUGGUGGGACCCUCGCCCUGCCCUCCCCACUCUGGAGCGCUGCCUCUCAGCCCAACCAAGUGACAGAGACGAGACAACCACAGGAAUAGCAGCUGCGGAGCUCCAUGGCCUCCCUCUGCCCCCUGGUGGUGAGAAGGAGAAAAGCAAGAGCAGGUGCUGAAAACGAAAAGGAAACUAGCAGCAGUCCCAGCUACCACAAUGGAUCAGCCCCCAUUUGGCCAACAGGUGACUCUACCCCAGGUGGGCCUGAGAGGACCCAUCCCCCAUCUCACCAUUCUGCCCCAGCGCCCUGGAUCCUGCCUCUACCACUUCUUCCCUGCAGCGUCUGCGGUUCCCCCACCGCUGUGAGCCAGGUUCCCCCUCCAGGCUGCUGGGCUGGGACUGAGUUACUUCUUCCCAGGCUGUAAAUCCUGGGACUGCUGUGCAAGGCAGAGUCACUAGGGACGGACUCUGGCAGCAGAGCUGCGCUCUCGUGCCCCAGCCAGCCAGGCUCUCCUGGGUGAGUAGCAGGGAGACCCCUGGAACUUACGGGGAUAGAAGGAGUGUGAUGCCAGGAGCCAGGGGAGGAAAAUGCCUGGCAGAGACGAGGGAGAGGAGGAGACACAUGGAGCCGUUCAUGGAUUUCACACAGGAUCUGGGCUGGAAGGGGCUGCCGAGACCAUCAGUCCAAUCUUUGGUCUACAGGUUGGGAAACUGAGGCUCAAGGAAGGCUCUGCGUCCUGCUUUGUGUAAGGAGAGAGCUGGGCAGUGAGGCCGAAAGUCCUUCCUGAGCUCACAGUCCAAGUUGCAAGGAAUCACAUCAUUUCCAAGUACCCAUGGCAGAAGAGGGAGCCAUCCUCAAGGUCACCAAAGACCUAAGAGCUGCCGUCUCUGCCAUCCUCCAGGGCUAUGGGGAUGGGCAGGGGCCAGUGACGGACACCAGUGCCGAGCUGCACAGACUCUGUGGCUGCCUGGAGCUGCUGCUGCAGUUUGACCAGAAAGAGCAGAAGAGCUUCCUGGGGCCUCGGAAGGAUUACUGGGACUUUCUCUGCACUGCCCUACGACGGCAGCGGGGAAACAUGGAGCCAAUCCACUUUGUCCGUUCCCAGGACAAGGGAAUGGUAUGGACCCCGGAGCCCUCUGCUCUGCCCAGAACGCCAAGAAGACAUCCUGGACUCUCUCUAUGCUCUCAAUGGGGUGGCCUUCGAGUUGGACCUCCAGCAGCCAGACCUGGAUGGAGCCUGGCCCAUGUUCUCAGAGUCACGCUGCUCCAGUUCCACCCAAACCCAGGGAAGGAGACCCAGAAAAAACAAAGAUGCCCCAAAGAAGAUCCCAGCCGCAUAUGGAGGGCCUGAAAAUGUCCAGAUUGAGGACUCACACACCAGUCAAGCCAUCUGUCUGCAAGAUGCACCCAGUGGACAGCAGCUGGCAGGGCUUCCCAGGUCCCAGCAACAAAGGCAUCUUCCUUUCUUUUUGGAAAAGAAGGGGGAAAGUUCCAGGAAACAUAGGUACCCCCAGAGCAUGUGGGAGCCAGAAGGGAAGGAGCUUCAGCUAGACCAGGAGGAAAGAGCCCCAUGGAUUGAGAUCUUCCUGGGGAACUCAACACCCAGCACCCAGGGACAGGGGAAGGGGGCUAUGGGCACUCAGAAGGAGGUGAUAGGGAUGGAGGCUGAGGUCACAGGGGUUCUGCUGGUUGCAGAGGGUCAGAGAACAACAGAGGGGACUCACAAAAAGGAAGCAGAGUGGAGUCACGUCCAGAGGCUGCUGAUGCCCAGCCCCAGAGGGGCUGUAGAGGGAGCAGUAUCAGGGAGCAGGCAGGGGUCGGGGGGCUCUAGCAUCCUGGGGGAGCCCUGGGUCCUUCAGGGACACGCAACAAAGGAAGACUCUACCGUGGAGAAUCCACAAGUGCAAACAGAAGUGACCCUUGUGGCCAGAAGGGAGGAGCAAGCCGAGGUGUCCCUGCAGGACGAGAUCAAGAGCCUCAGACUUGGGCUCCGGAAGGCUGAGGAGCAGGCCCAGCGCCAGGAGCAGCUGCUGAGGGAGCAGGAGGGGGAGCUGCAGGCACUUCGGGAGCAGCUCAGCAGGUGUCAGGAAGAGAGAGCCGAGCUGCAGGCACAGCUGGAGCAGAAGCAACAGGAGGCUGAGAGGAGGGAUGCCAUGUACCAGGAGGAGCUUGGAGGGCAGCGGGACUUGGUCCAGGCCAUGAAGAGGCGGGUGUUGGAACUGAUCCAAGAGAAGGACCGCCUGUGGCAGAGGCUCCAGCAUCUCUCUUCCAUGGCUCCCGAGUGCUGUGUGGCCUGUAGCAAGAUCUUUGGCCGAUUUUCUCGGCGGUAUCCAUGCAGGCUCUGUGGAGGCCUGCUCUGCCAUGCUUGCUCCAUGGAUUACAAGAAGAGAGACCGCUGCUGCCCACCCUGCGCCCAGGGAAGAGAAGCCCAGGUCACCUGACCAAGACCAAGACCAGCCCAUGACUGGCCUCCCACCUGCCUGCCCAUCCCACUCAAUCCACUCCCUGCCCGUAGCUCUUCCCAGCCCUCUUGUUUGUCCAGUCCUCAUUCUAGACACUGAAGAUCUAAGGCACCAGCACUUCUGUGGGCAGAGUAGGGUGUGGGGAGUGGUUCCAGCCCUGCAACUACCACAACGAGCCAGGUGACUUUGGCGAAGCUCUCAGUGCUCAGGGCUUCUUCUCUAAUGUUAAGAGUUGGGCCCCAUCCUCUCUAAAGUCCCUCUGGGCUCAGCAAAUCCAUGACUGUGGAUAAGACCCCAGCAGCCCUGACAUUUCUCCUCCACACUCCCCACUCACCCAGCAGCGGUGCCCACCUUUCCUGAUUCACGAGAAGUGAAGCCUGCACUAUCUUGGACUCUCCAGCAGCUUCCUGUCUGGAGUCAGCUUCAGGGAUCUGUGUUUGUGUUGCUGUGUUUCUUUUUAUGUUUAUUGAAGUACUACUGACAUAUGAUAAACAUCACAGAGUGUACAA